rnacentral:rRNA from 1 species
GACGAACGCUGGCGGCGUGCUUAACACAUGCAGGUCGAACGAUGAAGCCUAGCUUGCUAGGUGGAUUAGUGGCGAACGGGUGAGUAAUACGUGAGUAACCUACCUUUAACUCUGGGAUAAGCCCGGGAAACUGGGUCUAAUACCGGAUACGACCAAUCUCCGCAUGGGGUGUUGGUGGAAAGCGUUAUGUAGUGGUUAUAGAUGGGCUCACGGCCUAUCAGCUUGUUGGUGAGGUAACGGCUCACCAAGGCGACGACGGGUAGCCGGCCUGAGAGGGUGACCGGCCACACUGGGGCUGAGACACGGCCCAGACUCCUACGGGAGGCAGCAGUGGGGAAUAUUGCACAAUGGGCGCAAGCCUGAUGCAGCGACGCCGCGUGAGGGAUGACGGCCUUCGGGUUGUAAACCUCUGUUAGCAGGGAAGAAGAGAGAUUGACGGUACCUGCAGAGAAAGCGCCGGCUAACUACGUG